AAGCCCGAUGGAGGCCAAAGUGGAGGGCGAGCAGGAGAUGUUCCUCAAUCUAAUGAAAAUGGUGGAGCCUCUAAUCAACCUCAAGAUCUUAACCAGCAGUGGCUCCAGAUUAUCAAGAUGCUAGUCGAUAAUAUACCAGAAGGCCUCAGUGCUUGGAUUUCCCAGUUUAAUCAAGUAGUAAAUCCCGUGCUAGAGCAGUUACGGGAACUUCUGAAUGUAACAGAGGAAAAAGCAGAGCUCUAACUAUCCUGGAUAGCAACCUUCUUUGCUUGAAUUGGGUUUUUUAAUGGUUUCACACAUUGUUUACAUGGUUUGAAAGUUAUUGGUUGUAAGGCCGGGACUGCUGGUGCUUAUGGUCUUUUAAGGAUGAGAUGCAUGUUUGGUAAUGAUCAAGUGAUUAGUGAUUGUAUUGAUUUAGACAUUUGGCAAUGAGGAAUUAAUCUUAUUUGUAUUACUGACUGGGUUUUCUGGUUUCUUUGUGUGGUGGUAAGGAUUAUAAUAAGCCUAUACACCUACUGUUAAAAUGUUUGGAGUUGGUAAGGUUUGUAAAAAGCCUUUUGAAAAAA